rnacentral:rRNA from 1 species
AAUAUUGGACAAUGGGGGCAACCCUGACCCAGCCACGCCGUGUGUGUGAAGAAGGUCUUCGGAUUGUAAAGCACUUUAAGUUGGGAGGAAGGGAUUUAGGCUAAUACCCUGAAUUUUUGACGUUCCCAACAGACUAAGCACCGGCUACCUCUGUGCCAGCAGCCGCUGUAAUACAGAGGGUGCAAGCGUUAAUCGGAAUUACUGUGCGUAAAGAGCGCGUAGGUGGUUCAGUAAGAUGGGUGUGAAAUCCCCGGGCUUAACCUGGGAACUGCUUUCAUAACUGCUGAGCUAGAGUACGGUAGAGGGUAGUGGAAUUUCCUGUGUAGCGGUGAAAUGCGUAUAUAUAGGAAGGAACACCAGUGGCGAAGGCGACUACCUGGACUGAUACUGACACUGAGGUGCGAAAGCGUGGGGAGCAAACA